rnacentral:rRNA from 1 species
AUACGUAGGGGGCGAGCGUUGUCCGGAAUGAUUGGGCGUAAAGGGCGCGUAGGCGGCCCGGUAAGUCUGGAGUGAAAGUCCUGUUUUUAAGAUGGGAAUUGCUUUGGAUACUGUCGGGCUUGAGUGCAGGAGAGGUAAGUGGAAUUCCCAGGGUAGCGGUGAAAUGCGUAGAGAUUGGGAGGAACACCAGUGGCGAAGGCGACUUACUGGACUGUAACUGACGCUGAGGCGCGAAAGUGUGGGGAGCAAACAGGAUUAGAUACCCUGGUAGUCCACACUGUAAACGAUGAAUGCUAGGUGUAGGGGGUAUCGACCCCUUCUGUGCCGCAGCUAACGCAAUAAGUAUUCCACCUGGGGAGUACGUUCGCAAGAAUGAAACUCAAAUGAAUUGACGGGG